GACGAACGCUGGCGGCGUGCUUAACACAUGCAAGUCGAACGGUAAGGCCCUUCGGGGUACACGAGUGGCGAACGGGUGAGUAACACGUGGGUGAUCUGCCCUGCACUUCGGGAUAAGCCUGGGAAACUGGGUCUAAUACCGGAUAGGACCACUGCCUGCAUGGGUGGUGGUGGAAAGCUUUUGCGGUGUGGGAUGGGCCCGCGGCCUAUCAGCUUGUUGGUGGGGUGAUGGCCUACCAAGGCGACGACGGGUAGCCGGCCUGAGAGGGUGACCGGCCACACUGGGACUGAGAUACGGCCCAGACUCCUACGGGAGGCAGCAGUGGGGAAUAUUGCACAAUAGGCGCAAGCCUGAUGCAGCGACGCCGCGUGAGGGAUGACGGCCUUCGGGUUGUAAACCUCUUUCAGCACCGACGAAGCGCAAGUGACGGUAGGCGCAGAAGAAGGACCGGCCAACUACGUGCCAGCCGCCGCAGUAAAAC
rnacentral:rRNA from 1 species